GGAGAAUUCUGGUGGUUAUAUUUAGUCCUCUUGUGACCAGGAGUCAGGCAUUCCUGAUAUAGGACGGCAGAAUUCCCAUCACACAACACAUACAAACACAACACACACACAUUCUGUCUGAGAGGGUUCUCUGAGCUGGUGGGCCUGGGUUCAACUCCAACAUCAACCUGCCAGGUAGAGAGGAGCACCCAGGCUCCACCCCCACCUCCUCGUCUCCGCAGCUACAGGACAAGAACGCCAACAACCACGCCACCCCCUCCCCAAGCCCCACCCCCAUUGAAAACGGCAACAGGCUGUCCAACGGGUCAAUGGAAGAUGAGGGUCACACCAAGUCAAACUCUUCCAGCUCAUCGUCUCUGCACAGGCAUAUGGACAGCCAUCACACUCAGGUGAUCCAGCAUCUGCGUGGAUGUGGGGGGGACGAGUCCGCCACCCUGGGGGAGUUGCUCCGCUGGCGCAGGGCGCUGUGUGAGGGGCGGGCCGACUGGAGGCACCAACGGGAUGUCAACGGAACACCACAAACCCCACCCACCACACUGGUCAGGGCUAAUAGGAAGUCUUCUCCAUAGUGGGAGGAUGUCCAACCUGAAAUUCCCACUCUCCACGCCUCACACUGCCUUUCUUGUCUGCCUCCUGCCACGCCCUCCUGCCCUUGUCUGCCACCCCAUUCGGCAAAGGACAGGUCUGAGAGAGAGGCAUUUCAUUGGCUAGGACCGCCCAACCCACAAGAGCAUUAACAGAUAAAGGAGGGAGAAAGGGAAUAGAGCAGCAAUCAGGAUCCAUUUAAUUCUCUCUCUCUCUCUCUCUCUCUCUCUCUCUCUCUCUCUCUCUCUCUCUCUCUCUCUCUCUCUCUCUCUCUCUCUCUCUCUCUCUCUCUCUCUCUCUCUCUCUCUCUCUCUCUCUCUCUCUCUCUCUCAAGCUGGAUGUAGGCUAACAGAGGAGAGGACUGUACAUACAAUAGUUGCUAUGUGGAAUGAGGUUUGCCUAUGUGUUUUCUGUCUGUAGUAAAUCUGGUGCACGUUCUCUCUCUAUCAAAGCCUACCAUGCUGUUACUGCUUACGCAACAUCUCCCAGCCCAAACCCCAAAACAUGGUGCUGAUGUCACUCUGUGUGAUGUCAUAUGUGUCAGGUGUGUGAUGCACACUAGGAUGAAGCUGCCCCGGUCUAGACACUGAUCCAGGGUCUGUUUUUGUCUUUCCCCUCUGACGCUCAUGGGGAAGGUAAGUUGAUCCUAGAUCUGUGCCUAUGGGCACAACAGAACAUGUGUGUACCCUCCCCUCCAGACAUGUCUGAAGUUUACAAGCGAGCCAAGGCCUUUAAACAUCUCCUCUGUUGAACCUCACUGCUCUGGCUUACAGACCAGUUAUCAUCUCUAGGACCAGGAGGUUUUCCUUACCAUGUGAUCUGACCAGGGAAAACUCCUGUCUCUAGUCUUCUGGACUCCUUCAGGUAUCAGCUACCGCUUUAGCCUCACGCUACAAGGUGCUUUUGGUGCUUCUGUAACCCUGGCAACAAUAGCUCAGAGUUCAGGGGUCAGGGAAACCUCAGCGAUAUCCCAUGGUGCACUUGUUUCAUCCCCAGCUAGCCAACGGCCUUUCGCUUUAGAGCAAACUGAACAGAACAUCCACAACAGUAAAAAAACAAAACACUGUACAGAUAUUACUGACUAGGCAAGACAAUAGCAGGGCUGUAUUUUACAACGAUGGCCAUAGUAGCUAGUUCAUGUAGCUAGAUCACCUGUGAUCAGACUGUAUCAAUGUCCUGUAAGGUUUUUACUGGGCUUAGUGCCAUACAACGUGACUCUAGGCCAGUCAACCUCAGCUAUGGCUGAUGUAUUUUACUGAUGUGUUUGUGUAGAGCACACAAACAGACUGAAUAAAGAACAGUGUAGAUGACCAAUGCACAACUAUCUGUCGCAGUCCCUCAAUUAACUACUUAUCUAGAUUUAUUCUACAAACAUCUCAGAGAAAUAAGCUCUAAACCACAAUGGUACUUUCUUCAUAUUAGCGUCUCAUUUGAUAUGUUCUAUCUUGUGUAAAUCAAUGUUAGGAGCCUGUACACUUUUCUGUACAAUUCAAGGAUGCAACUGGAGCACAACAGAGUUCUCAUGCAGUGGCGGUUCUAGACCAUUUCAACUGGGGGGGGGGCAAGCUGGGGCCAGUUACAUUAGACGUUAUUGUUGUCAUAUCGUUUUCUUCACUGCAUUGCAGGCAUUAGCAGGCAAAAGACCAUAUUCAUAAUCGUCAUCGUUGCCACUGUCUACUAACGGAUGUAAAAAAAAGAAUGAUAUCAAAAAUGUGUAAAAAUUAUUUCAUACUCCACAUUUAGGGGGGCCACAAGGGGGUCCAAAAUUGUUGUCACAGGGGCAUUGACCCCCCCCCCGCCAGAACAACUAGUGCUCUCAUGUAAAGCUACCCCAUCCUCCUCAAUCACUCCCUUUAUUUCCCUCCCAAACCCUGCAAUAUCCCCAACACCCCCUCCAAGAUGCUGUAGGGGUCAGAGGGCAUUGCCAGGGUAACCUCCCUGUAAAUAAUGGCCUAUGUUUCAUUGUCAAAUGUUUUAAUUUACUAUAGCAGAAUAGCACAGAAAUGGGAAGAUGGAAAGGGAACUGGAGAAUUGUCUAUAUGGCAGAUGGAGAAUUAUAUGAAUGUCUUGGGUUUAAUGCAAUGACUGAGGCAAAGAGAAGAGGUUUAUUUUAUAAUGUGAACACCUUUUUUGCGGAAUGAUUGUCUACUACUAUGAAACUUCUUUAUACUGUAUUUAUUUAGUUUGUUUGUUUGUUUCCCUGCAACACCAUUGUAAGACAAUAUUCCAGUGGAGAAAGACUGAUGUUUCCAUCAUUUGUCUGAUGGUUGUUUGGAUGUUAAAUUGCACAAUAUUGAUGUGUGGUGUGGUGUCCACAUCGUAAAGGAGUAGCUAGAAGUUGCCCCUAACCACUGAUAUAGGGUCAGAUAUUUUAACAUCCCCCUAAUGGUUACGGUUAUGAUUUGGAAGGGUAAUCUGACCAUGGUAAUUGGAUGGGUGUGCCUCUGCAAGCCGUUUGAUCUUAGAAGAUUGGUUUGACUGUAAAAGCCAGGAAGUAUCAAUAGCUCUGAUUGAUUUCUCAUUUACACUGAUCACCCUUCAACAGUCUGAUUGAUCCUGAAUUAGAAAUUAGCAGUGCCAUCACUAGCGCGUCCCUGGUUGUUGAUUGAGCCGUGUGUGUGCGUGUGAGUGUGUGUGUGUAUGUGAUAAGAAACACUACAUUUUCUACAGAAAUUGGGCAAAGACCACAUCAAACAUUGACUAGGAGUGAGCCACUUAACCAGACCUUCUGAACACCCAAGCUCUGCUAACGACAAUGGAAUACAGUAUUUCAAAGUGAUAGUGUUAAGAUACCAUGUCUAUAUGUGAUUGGACGAUGCUUUAGGAUUGGAACAGAGGUGAAACAACACGUCUGGAUAGAACAAUACAGUUGGUCAUACUGUAGUUCUACAUCAUGUACAUAUGACUAUUGGACAGAGCUGCCACAGUGCACACAGUAUACACUACUUACAUUGAGACAGUACCAGUCAAUACCAGUUUCCUACACACAAAAUAAAUCACUUCAUAUAGGUAGGUGUACCACUCCUACUCCGAUGUGCUGAGGUCCACCACUAAACAGGGUUAAGGUUCGUCCUGUUUGUAUUGUGUCUAUUUAUCCCAUACUACUAUGAAUGAUUUAGUAAAGCAAUGAAAACGUGAUGAGGAUGAAGAGGUAUGGAUACUUUUUUAAGGCAUUUUAGACAGGAUGUUAGUUCUUUGUCUCUCUGCAUGAUCUGACCACUCAUCAUUUCCUCUUACCCACAUGCACGGCAGUUAACGCUUGAUAGUUGAAUAUCCUUUUACCCUUUACACUGUGAAUCACUGCACUGUCUCACACUGCCAUGUCACACUGCCAUUUCACACUGCCAUUUCACACUGCCAUUUCACACUGCCAUUUCACACUGUCAUUUAAGACUGCCAUGUCUCCUAUGUGCUUGUCACCCUACGAUGUUUCCCCUUCUAAAGGAAACCUUAAAAUACAGUAAAAGCUACACACAUAUGUCCCCCAACCCCGAUCCCCAAUGUGUUUUCUGACUUCACAACUGACCUAAACAACUAGAUACUGCCAUUUUUCAUUCAUAGUCAGGUCUCCCUUUGUCAUGAGGUUCCUAGACCAGAUGUCUGGUGCUAAAGCCAGUGCAGAAGGGGCAUUUUACUGUUCUCAGUCCAUGUUCAGUAUUCCAAUGACACACUGUAUAUUUUAGCACAUAGGCAUAUCACAGCCUUGUUUUCAUAGUUGUUGUUUUCUUCCCCCUCUUUUUGUCAGACAUACAGUAUAUUUUACCUGUAUACAUUGUGUUUGUUGAAAAUCAGAAUUAUAUAUGCGUUGUUUCAUGUUUUGUUUCCAAUGUUUUAUAAAUGCC
rnacentral:lncRNA from 1 species